AUGGAUGUGAGGAGCCAGGUUGGACCUGUGUGCAUUCAUUAGAUGGGUGGGAGGCUGAGGAAUUCACAGGACGCUAACCUGGCCCUCUGGACAUCUGUGUGUGCUGCUUAGGUGCAUGCAGGAGCGGGGGCAGGGGCUGCUGGUGUGGCAGCAGGAGGAGCCCUCUGAGUUUGACUUGGCCUACGCCAAUUUCCUCUCCCUGGAUAUCAGCAUGCUGCGGCUCUUUGAGACCUUGGAGACGGCACCACAGCUCACGCUGGUGCUGGCCAUCAUGCUGCAGAGUGGCUGGGCUGAGUACUACCAGUGUGAGUGAAGGCCAAUGGUUGGUCCCCCUGUCGUGGCUUGGGAGGUCUCUCUCAAAUGUCAGAACUGUUUUUAUUCUUUUAUAAAGGCUGCUUAGAAAACAGGAUAACAGGCUUUAGUCAGGCAGAUCUGGCUUGAAACCUAAAGUCAUUCUGCAGCUGUUUGCGUUUGGACAAAUGCCUUGACCUCUCUGAGUAUGUUUGUUCUCAUCUGAAAAAUGGACAUAAAUCCUCCUGCCUCAUAAGGUUGAUGAAAGGAUUAAGUGAGGUGAUGCAAAGAAAGCCCAUUUCCUGGUACAUAAGUUCCUGGUACAGAGUCUCACUCUGUCGUCACCCAUAGUGGAGUACAGUGGCCUGAUCAUUGCUCACUGCAGCCUCGACCUCCCAGGCUCAGUUGAUCCUCCUGUCUCAGCCUCCUGAGUAGCUGGGACUACAGGCAUGUGUCAACCAUGCUGGCUAACUUUUCUUUUCUUUUCCUUUGUUUGGUAGAGACGAGGUCCCACGUUGUUACCUAGGCUGGUCUUGAACUCCUGAGCUCAAGUAACCUCCUACCUCAGCCUCCUAAGGUGCUGGGAUUACAGGUGUCGGCCACUGUGCCUGGCCCACAAGUCUUAAUUGUAACUUUUAUAAUUUUGAAGAUAAUAAAGUGUGUAAGGUGCCUGAUACAGAGUAGGUAACUUUUUUGUUAAGAAACAAUUUAAUACGUUGGGAUGUGCACAGGUUGCGUGAGGCCAGAGUUGGAGACCAUCCUGGGUAACAGAGUGAGACCUCAUCUCUUCAAAUUUUUAAAAAAGAAACAAGAAACAAUAUAUUGAAUGCCUUCAUCCAGUCGGGUUUUCAUUGUGCCUCUCUUUUCUGCCUGUUACUGUGCUGGGGACACAGCAGUGAACAAGAUGAACCCAGCCCCUGCGCUGCCAGGAUGAUAGACUAAAACAAGUAGCUACUGUAUAGCAUGUUGAGUGACUGGAAAAGGGAGAGGCAGGUGGCAGAGGCUCACAGGGCCCCCUAAGCAUGGGUGAAGUUUAUAGUGAGGAGCUUUGGGAGGGUUUUUGCCCAUAAAGGGAAGGUGACUUGCCUGUUUUCACAGACUCAGACAGUGGCCAAGCUAAAGAGGGCCCCCACCCACAUCCAACUCAGGGUCCAAGCCUUCCCCUUUGCCUUCCUCCACCGCUGCCAUAAAUGCCAGAGCCUCUCAAGGAACCAGUCCUCAUUCUACCGUCACUUGCUGUGUGACCCGGAGAGCCUUCCUGUGGAAGAUGGAGGUUGGACUCAAUCUCCAAGGGCCCUUUCAUCUUGUUAGUCUGAGUCUAUGUAUUGAUUGAAAAAACAAUAAUAGCAGCUGUCACUGUUAGCCAGGUGCCAGCUAUUAGCCAGGCCCGGUGGGAAGCACUUACAGUCAUCAUUGCUCAUGUUCACAGCAGCCCUAUAGGUUUGUGCUAGGUUGAUCUCCAUUUUUAAAGAGGUGCAGAAAGGUGAGUGACUUGCUCUGGGUCACUGGGCACUCACUGGGCACAUGUUUUUGUCUGUUGAGGGUGGGGGAGGUCUAGAACCAGGGCCAAGUGCAGACAGUCUGCACUGCAUGUAUGGCAGGGGGUAAGGGGGCGAAACAGAUUUUCCCUACUUUUUAUUUAGCAAACCUCUCUUUCGCUGCUGUUAUGUGCCAGGUACUGGGCUGCUGGGGGAUCCCAAGUGAGCAGAGUCUGUUUUCUACCCUCGAGGAGCUCAGAGAAAAGGAAAUAGAUAAUUACUGUGUGAUGAGACUCCAGACAGAGGGGUUGGCAUCUGCACAUCCUUCCUGGGCAUCUCGUGGGCACUGCUCGAUUACCACCAGGCCUUGCACACCUGCCUCCCCUCCAAGCCCCUCCUGGGCCUGGGCUCCUCUGUGAUCUACGUCCUGUGGAACCUGCUGCUACUGUGGCCCCGAGUCCUAGCUGUGGCCCUGUUCUCAGCCCUCUUCCCCAGUAUGUAGCCCUGCAUUUCCUGGGCCUGUGGCUGGUACUGCUGCUCUGGGUUUGGCUUCAAGGCACAGACUUCAUGCUGGACCCCAGUUCCGAGUAUCCUCUAUUUCUCCUGGUUCAACGUGGCUGAGGGCCACACCCGAGGCCGGGCCACCAUCCACUUGGCUUUCCUCCUGAGUGACAGCAUUCUCCUGGUGGCCACCUGGGUGACUUACAGCUCCUGGCUGCCCAGCAGGAUUCCACUGCAGCUGUGGCUGCCUGUAGGAGGCGGAUGCUUCUUUCUGGGCCUGGCUCUGUGGCUUGUGUGCUACUGCUGGCUGCACCCUAGCUGAUGCUGGGAGCCCAACCCUGACCAGGUGGACAGGACCCAGAGUCUACUUUCCUCAGAGGGGUAUCAGCUGCCUCAGACCCAGUUAGCACAGAACUUUUUUCCCAAGGGUAAGGCUGAGGCUGCUUCGCCAGUGAAGGGAGAGGUGAACGGCGUCCUUUGAAGCAGGAUCAGACCCAGCCAGCAGAGAUGGAGAGUGACUGCUGGCAGAAGGCAGGCGAGGAUAAGCUAACGAUGCUGCUGUGGCCUCCAUGCACUCAGCAAGAGUGGGAUGCCUCUGCUGGGCCGUGCACCAGGGAUGGUGCUGAGUGGGGCAGAGGCCUGCCUUCAAGGAGUUCACAGUGAACAAGAUGAGAAGGGCUGGGCCCUGCAGGGUCAAGAGCCCCAAUUACGUACAAGACACUUUGGGAGGAAAGACGACUACCUUUUCUUUUCCCCCUGCCAUUGGUAUAGCUGGUGCCCCAAAACUUUCACCUCCCUCCCUGGCCACCUCUAAAAUGAUUGGUAUAGGGGCUUCCCCACCCCUUAGCUCCCCUAUCCUGGGCUAGAAGGCCACAGGGACUGUCCUCUAGAAUUCUUCCUCCCCUCCCCCACACCAUUCAUUCAAUUCGUGAAACAAAUCUUCACCGAGAGCAGUUUAUGUGCUAGGAACAUCAUUCUAUCCUUGCAACCUGGAACAAGACCAGCUACCACCUUAGCUUCAUCCCCUACUUGCACCAACCAGUCCCGGGUUAGAUCUCAAAUGCCGGAAGUCAGGGAUGCCCAACUCUGGGCAGCCCCAGUCAGAACCUCUGGGAUCUCAGUGAAGCUGGCCUGGCCUCUGCUCUUGCUCUCAAGGGGCUGCUUUUCAACCAAGAGCCUUGUGAGCCUGGUCUGAGCCUUGCACAGCCACUGAGUAUUUUUUAUUCCUUAGCCAGUGUACCUCCUACCUCAGAGUCUAUGUGAGAGGAAGAGAAUGUGUGUCCCUGUGGGUCUCUGCAAGUGACAGAUGUGUUGUUUUUAACAGUAUUAUUAGGUUAUGAUUAAAGCCUCAUGAAAUCCUCU
ensembl:lncRNA RNF216P1 ring finger protein 216 pseudogene 1